UUACGGCUGAUGGUACUGCACGGGAGACUGUGUGGGAGAGUAAGUGGUUGCCAGGU
rnacentral:rRNA from 1 species